rnacentral:rRNA from 1 species
UACGUAGGGUGCAAGCGUUGUCCGGAAUCAUUGGGCGUAAAGAGCUCGUAGGCGGCUUGUCGCGUCGGCUGUGAAAACCCGCGGCUCAACUGUGGGCGGGCAGCUGAUACGGGCAGGCUGGAGUUCGGUAGGGGAGACUGGAAUUCCUGGUGUAGCGGUGAAAUGCGCAGAUAUCAGGAGGAACACCGGUGGCGAAGGCGGGUCUCUGGGCCGAUACUGACGCUGAGGAGCGAAAGCGUGGGUAGCAAACAGG